UACAGAGGGGGCAAGCGUUGUUCGGAAUUACUGGGCGUAAAGGGCGCGUAGGCGGCCUUCUAAGUCGAACGUGAAAUCCCCGGGCUCAACCCGGGAACUGCGUCCGAUACUGGAAGGCUUGAAUCCGGGAGAGGGAUGCGGAAUUCCAGGUGUAGCGGUGAAAUGCGCAGAUAUCAGGAGGAACACCAAUUGCGAAGGCAGCUCGCUGGGACGUUACUGACGCUGAGACGCGAAAGCGUGGGGAGCAAACGGG
rnacentral:rRNA from 1 species